rnacentral:rRNA from 1 species
GACGAACGCUGGCGGCGUGCUUAACACAUGCAAGUCGAACGGUGAAGCGCUUGCCUUUUUGGUGGGUGUGGAUGAGUGGCGAACGGGUGAGUAACACGUGAGUAACCUGCCCUCUUCUUCUGGAUAACCUCAUGAAAGUGGGGCUAAUACGGGGUAUUCCGGGUCUGUCGCAUGGCGGGUUUGGGAAAGAUUGCGCCUUUGGGUGUUUUCGGUGGGGGAUGGGCUCGCGGCCUAUCAGCUUGUUGGUGGGGUGAUGGCCUACCAAGGCGGUGACGGGUAGCCGGCCUGAGAGGGUGGACGGCCACACUGGGACUGAGACACGGCCCAGACUCCGGCGGGAGGCAGCAGUGGGGAAUAUGGCACAAUGGGCGCAAGCCUGAUGCAGCGACGCCGCGUGAGGGAUGGAGGCCUUCGGGUUGUGAACCUCUUUCGCCAGUGAAGCAGGCCUGCUCCUGUGUGGGUGGGUUGACGGUAGCUGGAUAAGAAGCGCCGGCUAACUACGUG